GGUCGUGCUGGUACUGGCCGACGCCGAUCGACUUCGGGUCGAUCUUCACCAGCUCGGCCAGCGGAUCCUGCAGCCGCCGCGCGAUCG
rnacentral:tRNA from 1 species